rnacentral:rRNA from 1 species
GAUGAACGCUGGCGGCGUGCCUAAUACAUGCAAGUCGAGCGAACGGACGAGAAGCUUGCUUCUCUGAUGUUAGCGGCGGACGGGUGAGUAACACGUGGAUAACCUACCUAUAAGACUGGGAUAACUUCGGGAAACCGGAGCUAAUACCGGAUAAUAUUUUGAACCGCAUGGUUCAAAAGUGAAAGACGGUCUUGCUGUCACUUAUAGAUGGAUCCGCGCUGCAUUAGCUAGUUGGUAAGGUAACGGCUUACCAAGGCAACGAUGCAUAGCCGACCUGAGAGGGUGAUCGGCCACACUGGAACUGAGACACGGUCCAGACUCCUACGGGAGGCAGCAGUAGGGAAUCUUCCGCAAUGGGCGAAAGCCUGACGGAGCAACGCCGCGUGAGUGAUGAAGGUCUUCGGAUCGUAAAACUCUGUUAUUAGGGAAGAACAUAUGUGUAAGUAACUGUGCACAUCUUGACGGUACCUAAUCAGAAAGCCACGGCUAACUACGUGCCAGCAGCCGCGGUAAUACGUAGGUGGCAAGCGUUAUCCGGAAUUAUUGGGCGUAAAGCGCGCGUAGGCGGUUUUUUAAGUCUGAUGUGAAAGCCCACGGCUCAACCGUGGAGGGUCAUUGGAAACUGGAAAACUUGGGUGCAGAAGAGGAAAGUGGAAUUCCAUGUGUAGCGGUGAAAUGCUCAGAGAUAUGGAGGAACACCAGUGGCGAAGGCGACUUUCUGGUCUGUAACUGACGCUGAUGUGCGAAAGCGUGGGGAUCAAACAGGAUUAGAUACCCUGGUAGUCCACGCCGUAAACGAUGAGUGCUAAGUGUUAGGGGGUUUCCGCCCCUUAGUGCUGCAGCUAACGCAUUAAGCACUCCGCCUGGGGAGUACGACCGCAAGGUUGAAACUCAAAGGAAUUGACGGGGACCCGCACAAGCGGUGGAGCAUGUGGUUUAAUUCGAAGCAACGCGAAGAACCUUACCAAAUCUUGACAUCCUUUGACAACUCUAGAGAUAGAGCCUUCCCCUUCGGGGGACAAAGUGACAGGUGGUGCAUGGUUGUCGUCAGCUCGUGUCGUGAGAUGUUGGGUUAAGUCCCGCAACGAGCGCAACCCUUAAGCUUAGUUGCCAUCAUUAAGUUGGGCACUCUAAGUUGACUGCCGGUGACAAACCGGAGGAAGGUGGGGAUGACGUCAAAUCAUCAUGCCCCUUAUGAUUUGGGCUACACACGUGCUACAAUGGACAAUACAAAGGGCAGCGAAACCGCGAGGUCAAGCAAAUCCCAUAAAGUUGUUCUCAGUUCGGAUUGUAGUCUGCAACUCGACUACAUGAAGCUGGAAUCGCUAGUAAUCGUAGAUCAGCAUGCUACGGUGAAUACGUUCCCGGGUCU